GAUGAACGCUGGCGGCGUGCCUAAUACAUGCAAGUCGAGCGAACAGACGAGGAGCUUGCUCCUCUGACGUUAGCGGCGGACGGGUGAGUAACACGUGGAUAACCUACCUAUAAGACUGGGAUAACUUCGGGAAACCGGAGCUAAUACCGGAUAACAUGUUGAACCGCAUGGUUCAACAGUGAAAGACGGUCUUGCUGUCACUUAUAGAUGGAUCCGCGCCGCAUUAGCUAGUUGGUAAGGUAACGGCUUACCAAGGCAACGAUGCGUAGCCGACCUGAGAGGGUGAUCGGCAACACUGGAACUGAGACACGGUCCAGACUACUACGGGAGGCAGCAGUAGGGAAUCUUCCGCAAUGGGCGAAAGCCUGACGGAGCAACGCCGAGUGAGUGAAGAAGGUCUUCGGAUCGUAAAACUCUGUUAUUAGGGAAGAACAAAUGUGUAAGUAACUAUGCACGUCUUGACGGUACCUAAUCAGAAAGCCACGGCUAACUACGUG
rnacentral:rRNA from 1 species